GAAACUUCCGGUUCUAACGGCUUGGGGCUUAUGCUGACGGAGCGGAGGCAGCAGGGUCAGGAUGGUGCUGCUGGAGAGUGAGCAGUUCCUGACGGAGCUGACCAGGCUCUUCCAGAAGUGCCGGUUGUCGGGCAGCGUGUUCAUCACCCUGAAGAAGUGUAAGCAGCUGUGGAUGCAGCAAGGCCGGAAGGGAGCUGGGAGGCCGAGCGAUGCCCCGGCCCGGGUGCCCAGUGACUGGGAGCCACAGGCAGAGUCUGUCUGCCGCGUAUCCCCGCCUUCCCGUACCUUCCUCCACCUGAUGAUGGUCGAACUAAACCCAUUCCAAGGAAGGGUUCUGUGGAGGGCUUUGAGCCCUCAGACAACAAGUGUCUGUUAAGAGCUACUGACGGGAAAAAGAAGAUCAGCACUGUGGUGAGUUGGAUUCCUAAUACUCCUAAUUUUGGAGUUUAAAGACUUGAAUUUAACUUGAGGGGUAUAUCUGAACCAGUUUUUUUUUUGUUUUGUUUUGUUUUUAAGUUAUUAAAUAAAGCCUAGUGUGUAGCUCUCCAGCUGUUUUGGGAUCAGGGUCUUCUUUUAUUACCUUAGUAAUAGAAAACCCAAAAGCAAAAUUAAAACGAAGAAGGUAGAAGCCAAACACUUGUUAGAAAUAAAAUUAGCAUAUUGGUCCUUACUCAGAGUAGCACGGUAAGGAGCAGUUGGCAUAUUUGAUUCCUUAUUCCUUUACUGUGCUGGGCCUUCAGUGAACAGUUUCUUGGUAUCAGAUGCUUUUACUUUUAAGCUGAUUGUUCACUUAUCUUUGUGGUUCAUGUACCAAACAUGUAUUAUAUUAGGCUUUGUAUUUGAGAGCAUAUGAUUUAGUCAAGAGUCCUAGUAUUAUUCCCUUUCAAAGUGGGGGUUGAAUAUGGCCAAGCAAGAGACUGCUUGGAUUCCAAAUGAAUACUUCUUUAUUCUGCUGGGGCAGAACCAGACUGCCCUCUAAUCACAUCAGCAUAGGAUAUUCAUGAGAAUAUAUGCCAUAAUUAGUUGAUGUCUCCCAUUACCAGUUAUCUUGAGAAGACUUUUACAGUAAAGCAAGCUUAUGUGGCUUUUAAAAAUAAAGUUGGGUGCCAUGAAAUACGGAAAACUAAGGAAUCUUCAGAGGUAGAAUUUCUUUUGUUGUGGUAGGUUGCAUUUUGCUUAAAUGCGCCUGAACUAAUGGUAGGUUUAAAAUAAGAUGGGGAGGGAGUACUUUAAAAGUAUCUUGCACAAAAGAUUAAGUCCUUUGACGUCUCUCAGAACCCUGAGAAAAAGUCAGUGCCAUGUGUGUAAGAGAUUUCAACAGAGGCAAGAAGCAUAGCUUCUUGAGGAGCCCACUUCUGCUUCUUUCCCAUCUUGGUACAAUUCUCAAAGUGCAGAGCUACUUUGCUUGUUCCUCAGGCAGAGGAAAGUGGAGUAGAAAAAUAGCUUUUACUGUAUUAUGACCCCUGCAAUUGGAAAGAAAUAUUUUUAGAGAUUAGGAUGUUGUCUUCACGAGGCUUUUGAGUUGCUAUUGGGUGAGGCAGAUGAUUCCUAUGUGGAUAACAGGGGUGACCUUUUCCCCAAUCUUUUCCAGGUGAGCUCCAAAGAAGUGAAUAAGUUUCAGAUGGCUUAUUCAAACCUACUGAGAGCUAACAUGGAUGGGCUGAAGAAGAGGGACAAAAAGAGCAAGAGUAAGAAGAGCAAAGCAGCGCAGUGAAGGGCACCAGAUUCCCGCCUUCACCAGCUAACCACUGAAUUGCUAUUUUUCCUUUGGUUUUUACUUUUGGCCACAAAGCUGGGUUUCUCAUUCCCCUACAAUAACUGUUUUCAUGUGAGAUUAGGGUCAGUUUUGGAUGGAAGAAGGGCUGCAGUGUUUACAGGGUAGUUACAAGAAGCCAGUUUAUUUUAUAUCUGGCUAAGUGGUCUGUGUUGUAUGGUUGUAUGUUUCUGGAUAAUAGUUUACAGUCUCUGUAGCCGUCUGUGAAGAGCACUGUAUCAUUAAACCUGUAUUUAUCAGUA